UCUAAGUGAUGAAACUGUAACUUGCCAGUUCUGCUUCUGAAAUUUAUUGAUGCUACAAGUUACAUAAUACUGACAG
ensembl:snoRNA